UUUAUCUUUUUUAAAUCAAUUUAUUUUUAUUAAAGUUUGUGUCAUGUAAACCUAUUCCAGCCUCUAUAAUUUAUCAUUGUUUUAGAAUUAAGAAUAAGCUUCAGGAAAUGUUUCCCCUCAUUUCAUUUGUUUUAUGUGCAGUAAGGGAUGCUUGUACGGAUCAAUGUGGAUCAAUACACAAUUUAAAAUACAAAUGAGUAUACAAGUAUUCAAGUCAUUGAGUAUAAAUUAAUGUAAAUCUUCAUUUCCAGAAUUCCAUUUAAUGCCCUUUUUUGUUAUGCAUUAUUAUUAAGUUUCUGUAAAUCUAACUUCUAUUCCAGAAACAAGUAUUUUAUUUAAGGUCUGAUAUGUUGGUCCCUUUAAGUUAAAGGAGAUUUAAAAGAAUCAAGCUUCAUCUGAAUUAUUCUUUUGAGUUCCACAUAUAUAUGUUGUUUUUUUUAAUUGUUUGACAUGUGAUAAUUAUUUAUUUAUUUUUUUUUUUUUUUGUACAUUAAAAGAUAAUGUUCAAUU